rnacentral:rRNA from 1 species
AUUGAACGCUGGCGGCAGGCCUAACACAUGCAAGUCGAACGAGUGGCGGACGGGUGAGUAAUGUCUGGGAAACUGCCUGACGGCGGGGGAUAACUACUGGAAACGGUAGCUAAUACCGCAUACCAUCAGAUGUGCCCAGAUGGGAUGAGCGCGUUGGUGGGGUAACGGCUAACCAAGGCGACGAUCCCUAGCUGGUCUGAGAUGAUGACCAGCCACACUGGAAAUGAGACACGGUCCAGACUCCUACUUGAGGCAGCAGUGGGGAAUAUUGGCCAAUGGGCGAAAGCCUGAUGCAGCCAUGCCGCGUGUAUGAAGAAGGCCUUCGGGUUGUAAAGUACUUUCAGCGGGGAAGCGUUACCCGCAGAAAAAGCACCGGCUAACUCCGUGCCAGCAGCCGCGGUAAUAC